rnacentral:rRNA from 1 species
UGGCUUAUGGAGUAAAGCCCCCGGCUCAACCGGGGAGGGUCAUUGGGAAACUGGGAGACUCCCCUUUAAGAAGAGGAGAGUGGAAUUCCAUGUGUAGCGGUGACUGUAGAUAUAUGGAGGAACACCAGUGGCGAAGGCGGCUCUCUGGUCUGUAACUGACGCUGAGGCUCGAAAGCGUGGGGAGCAAACAGGAUUAGAUACCCUGGUAGUCCACGCCGUAAACGAUGAGUGCUAAGUGUUGGAGGGUUUCCGCCCUUCAGUGCUGCAGCUAACGCAUUAAGCACUCCGCCUGGGGAGUACGACCGCAAGGUUGAAACUCAAAGGAAUUGACGGGGGCCCGCACAAGCGGUGGAGCAUGUGGUUUAAUUCAAGCAACGCGAAAACCUUACCAGUUUUUUCCUUUGACCAUCUAAAUAAGUUCCCUUCGAAGAGGGGUGUGUUGAUUU